UGCAGUCGAGGGGCAGCGCGGGCUUCGGCCCGGCGGCGACCGGCGAACGGGUGCGUAACACGUAUGCAACCUUCCUGUUACUGAGGGAUAGCUCAAGGAAACUUGAAUUAAUACCUCAUAAUACACCGCUCUCGCAUGGAAGUGGUGUUAAAGCUCCGGCGGUAACAGAUGGGCAUGCGCCCCAUUAGUUUGUUGGUGAGGUAACGGCUCACCAAGGCUACGAUGGGUAGGGGGUUUGAGAGGAUGAUCCCCCACACUGGUACUGAGAUACGGACCACACUCCUACGGGAGGCAGCAGUAAGGAAUAUUGGGCAAUGGGCGCAAGCCUGACCCAUCUAUGCCGCGUGCAGGAUGAAGGCCUUUUGGGUUGUAAACUGCUUUUAUAAGGGAAAAAAAAAUCGCUGCGGCGAGAACUGACAUCACCUUAUGAAUAAGCACCGGCUAACUCCGUGCCAGCAGCCGCGGUAAUACGGAGGGUGCAAGUGUUGUCCGGAUUUAUUGGGUUUAAAGGGUGCGUAGGUGGUAAGAUAAGUCAGCGGUGAAAGCCUAUAGCUUAACUAUAGAAUUGCCGUUGAUACUGUCGUACUUGAGUAUGGUUAAGGUAAGUGGAAUUUAUGGUGUAGCGGUGAAAUGCUUAGAUACCAUAAAGAACACCAAUAGCGUAGGCAGCUUACUGAGCCAUAACUGACACUGAGGCACGAAAGCGUGGGGAGCGAACAGGAUUAGAUACCCUGGUAGUCCACGCCGUAAACGAUGAUCACUCGCUAUUGGCGAUAUACAGUCAGUGGCUAAGCGAAAGCGUUAAGUGAUCCACCUGGGAAGUACGCUCGCAAGAGUGAAACUCAAAGGAAUUGAC
rnacentral:rRNA from 1 species